rnacentral:ncRNA from 2 species
GAAUACUGUCUGGGGUGCCGCUUGCGGCUGAGAUAUACCCAUUGAACCUGAUGCAGUUCGUACUGUCGGAGGAAGACGAUAAUCAAGUAAC